rnacentral:lncRNA from 1 species
GCGGGGCAGAACAUAGGUUGCCUUAGAGAGGUUCCCCGGUGUCCCGACGGCGGCUCAAGUCAGAGUUGCUGGGUUUUGCUCAGAUUGGUGUGGGAAGAGCCUGCCUGUGGGGAGCGGCCACUCCAUACUGCUGAGGCCUCAGGACUGCUGCUCAGCUUGCCCGUUACCUGAAGAGGCGGCGGAGCCGGGCCCCUGACCGGUCACCAUGUGGGCCUUCUCGGAAUUGCCCAUGCCGCUGCUGAUCAAUUUGAUCGUCUCGCUGCUGGGAUUUGUGGCCACAGUCACCCUCAUCCCGGCCUUCCGGGGCCACUUCAUUGCUGCGCGCCUCUGUGGUCAGGACCUCAACAAAACCAGCCGACAGCAGAUGUGAGCAGCGGCACACGGGUCCGGGCAGGGGGCAAGGGCUAAGGAAGGAGUGGCUAGGGCAGGGGCGGGAACCGGGGUGCUUGACCACACGUGAAGACUCAGAACUAACCCAGGCAGCCUGGAACUCGGAGAGGUGAUGAGCAGAACUUACUCGCAUUGGGGAAAGGAUGGGUAGGGACCCUUGGGUAUAUCUGGGACUCUGGCAGUGGUGCUUUCCUCCCUCCGCCCCCCUCACCACUUACCAGAAUAAAAAACCGGGAAUGAGAAGACCACUUUGGGUUACUGUAACACCUGCACUAGUGAGUGACCACGCCCCCUUUCCUCUUCCCCCUCGCCCCCUUGCUGCUGGGCCACAGCCCAGAAUCCCAGGGAGUGAUCAGCGGUGCUGUUUUCCUUAUCAUCCUCUUCUGCUUCAUCCCUUUCCCCUUCCUGAACUGCUUUGUGAAGGAGCAGUGUAAGGCAUUCCCCCACCAUGAAUUUGUGGCCCUGAUAGGUGCCCUCCUUGCCAUCUGCUGCAUGAUCUUCCUGGGCUUUGCGGAUGAUGUACUGAAUCUGCGCUGGCGCCAUAAGCUGCUGCUACCUACAGCUGCCUCACUACCUCUCCUCAUGGUCUAUUUCACCAACUUUGGCAACACGACCAUUGUGGUGCCCAAGCCCUUCCGCCCGAUACUUGGCCUGCAUCUGGACUUGGG